ACCAAUUCCGGACACAAUCUCAGCACUGUGGGAGACUGAGGCACCUGCCAAACCUGCACAGAUUCCUACAGCAGCCAGUUCGCUCUGUCUCGAGGCUUCAGAGGAACACGAACUUCUCUGAUGGAAGAGCCUUGUUCUAGAAGGGAGUGAAGCCUAGGUCUUUCCUGAGCACACAGAAGAUCAAGACCACACUCACUGACUUCUCAUAGUCAAGCAAUUUUGGCCAAUUAAAUGUCAGUUGGAAACUCCUGUGUCAGCUUCUCUGUGGCGGUGAGAAGUCCCUGUGUGACAUCCCAACUCUCCCCUCACCUGCGUUGGCAACCAAGAAAGCCUUGUGUUGGAGGUGGGGCCACAAGUUUAAAGCUAAGUUACCACCUCGAGGGCACAUUCCUGGAGAGCUUCCCAGGCCCACAGUGGCACGUGUAUGAGUGACAGAUCCACUUCUUUAUUACCUUUUUGAAGAACAGGAACCUUUGUCUGGAAAUUCCACAAGUAUGCCUUUUGCAAGAUUAAAAGUGCCACAAAGAACAAAAAUGAGCCCAGGACCAGAUGCAUGUUAAAAGCCAUCAGACACGUUAAGUUUCAUCUCCAUUGACCUGGGACUAUUUGGUUUCUAUUCUACUUCUGGCCUUUCAUAUUCCUGAUGGUGCAUUGGAUGAAACCCCGCAGCCAGGCGUGUGAACGUGGUUGAAAAGACCCAUGGAGGACCAGCAACGCUUCCCCACAGCGUGGGAUGGUCCCCUCCUGAGAUGGCCCACUGUCAGCGGGACUGACGCCAAGCACUGCAUCCUGUCUGCUUCUUGAACAGCCCCUUCAUUGUUUGUUCAGCUAUUCUGCUGCAUCUGCAGAUAGCCCUGCCUGAGAAACAGCCUCAAACCAGAAGGAGAGGAUGGCGGCAAGCCUUAGAGAAACAUGGAUGUUAUGUGGACUUCAUUGCCUCAGAGAAAAUUCCUUUUAGGGCUGAAGGCAGAGAAAGUCAGCAUUGAUUUCUGGCCUAAGCUCUUGGGAGUUUAGAGGGUUUGUCAAGGAGCCAAAAGAGGCAAAGGGACUUGAAGAUUUGGACGGCAUGUCUCGGAGAAGUAGCCCCACUCCUAGAGGAGAUGACAUUUGGCUUGGAGGAGAAAGAGGCCUCAAAGGUUUCACAUAUCUAAGUCCAAGGAACUUGAGCUCACAGUCAGACAUCAUAAAACACACAAGGAAAGAAGGCAUCAUGAAUAAAAGCAGGAACCAAUAUUAUUAGACACAACAGAUAAAAUGACCGUAAAGAAAAUUUGGGAAUGUGUAUUUCAGGGAAAAUGAAAAUGAUCCCAAUAAAGAUCGGAGAUGCAGGAAGGAAGGAAAACAUAGAAAUUGAGCCAGUUGGAGUGUGAGGCUUCAGAAUCGCCUUCCAACUCUCUGUGCACUGCACCAGCUGCUUCCCAUAGACUCCUGGUAAAAUAUAGAGCGGAAGGAAGAAGAGCCACUACCCAUAACAUCAGUGGCUGCUAACUAAGGAGUGUUUUGACAUGCUGGUACAGCCUAUCCUCAGCUUUCCAGAAGGUGGAAUCUUGUGAUAGUGGAAAGAAGUAGAAGAGAUGAAGUACCUAUGACUCCAGGAUUUGCCAGUGAAAGAAGUCAACAAUAUUUUAACUUUGAUCUUAACCAAAAGGCCAAGAAGUGAUGCUAAUAUUUUCAUAUACUACGACAGUUGCAGACACACGUCUAUCAUAGCUGGGUAGUAAUCCAGGCAACUCUGCCACAAGUCAUGGGCUCAGCCACCAGUCCACGAAGUCUCCAGUCACACAUAUUGCUUCGGACUAUUCUCUAUCCCCAGUUGUCAAUUAACUAAAAUAUUAAAUGAGGAUGCCAUGGAGUCCCCCAACUGAUUUCAUAAAUUUGGUGUCACAUUGUAAAUCAAGCAGCUGCAGAGUGGCUGGGACAUCUGUUUGGUUCUGUUAUUCUCUUUACUCCAAAAGGAAACUAACUCCAAAAGAAGAAAACCUGAUGUCUGAGCUGAAUCCUAAUCAUGAAGAUGUUUUUCCACCAUUCCUGUCUGUGUUUUUCUACCAUUCCUGUCUGUGUUUUUCUACCAAAGUGUGCUCUUGAAGUUCUGCAUUUCCCAGGGUGUGGUGAAAGAAGAGAAAAAAAUGUCCAAGAUGACUUCAACGUUCUGACCUUGAGUGGCUUGAGUGAAUGGAGUUACAACUGUGCAGAAAGAUUCAGUAGAGAGUUUUGGAUUUAUGCACCAGUAAGGGGAAAACUGAACAGCUGCAGAGAGCUGUAACUUUUAUAGGAGAUUAAUCUAUAAGAGAAGACAGCAAACUACAGCCUGUGUGUCAAAUCCUACUUGCCACGUCCACUGAAAGCUAACUACACUGGAACACUCUCAUUUCUGCAAAGAAAAAUAUCAUAUCCCAGGAUGAAAAGGAGGAGGAAGAGGAAAGGCUAACUUAACAAGAAGCUCUUUGACAUUCUUGAAUUAGACACCCAACGUAGUCCACGCAGUACGGAGGAUGACUUCAGAAGUGCAAUUCUGAUAUGGACUUUGUCUCCCUAAGGCUUUCAGUUCCUCAUAUUUAGGAUAAAACAGAAGUUUAUGUAAAGCCAAGGGAGAGGGUCACCGGGAGAGGGAAGGAGGAACAGCAGAAGGAGAGGUCCACACAUGAAAAUACUUGGAAGCGCCCCAGGGCCUAUCAGAUGCAGGUCUUGGCGGAAAUUACCAAACAUACUUUAGACAGGCUGCUGUGUUGCUGAGUGUGGACUGGCCUCAGGGCCUGCUGAUCAAAGCAAAAGGAAGCAGUGAAAAAAACAUCACCAUGUCUUCUUAGAGUCUAAUCUGGGGGCAAGAGGCCAGCAUGCACAGUUGGUGCUGAUUUUCUUGGGCGGAUAGAGGAAAGGUGUAGGCGUGGCCAACAUUUGAGCAGCAUGUGGUUCCUCUCACACGCCAUGCUGUUUCCGGCCUCCUUGCAUUUUACUCAUGCCAUCCUCCUGGUCACUUCUUUGAGAUAUUAAGUGCAUUCUUUAGGACUCAGACUCAGCUCAAGGGUCAGUGCAUCCAUGAAGCCUUACCUGGAUCCCAGAGGGAGCUCUGUGCUCCUCCUUUGUCUCCUAUAGGACCCAGUACAUGCGUCCAGUAUUAUCCAUACACACUGAAAUGAUCUAGCAUGUGUCUUCCCAUAGGAUUUCAAAUUCUUAGAAUAUAGGAGUGAUGCCUUCUUCCUACUUAUAUUUCCAGUGUUAACAGUGCCUGUCAAUUGACUUGAAGAUAACUAAAAGUCUGGUUGUUAAGGGCUGCUUCCCACCUCCAAAUACUUCCCUGGAAGUCAUUGUAUGGGCACUGACAUUGGUAGGUCUCCACUGGCUUGUAGAUGCUUCUGAUUAUAAGGUAGUCUCAGAUGCCUUCAGAAAGUUCUAAGACUGUAUAAAACAUUUCCUUCACAACCAAUAACUGUGUAUUAUUGUUCGUGUAAUUCCAGAAGUUAUCCUUUUGAUAGAGAGCAAUUACUUUAUUGAUUGAGAGUUAGCUAAUUAUGUAAUAAAGGUAAAGAUUUGCAUAGAGAAGUGUAAGAGACAUGGAGAAGAUUCUUGGUGGGUGGUGAGGGCGGGUACAUUUACACCAGACCAAGACUGAUCUGGCUGUGGCGCUGGAGAUUAAACUGUUUAAAUAUGGGAUCCUAAGAAGACUUCUGUGCAUUCUAGACUUCAAGAGACAGAUUGCAUUUUUUUUUAGGAAAUGUAGAUAAAACCCUUUGACUGAAUGACUCUAGAAAAUAAUACUGAUUUGAGAGAGAAAGGAAAUUCUAAAACAAAAUCCUGACAGCAGAGGCAUGAAUGAUCCUCAUGAGGAAGAAAUGAGACUCUGCUUAACUACACUGUAGAUUUUGGUGUGGAAGAAGAUGGAAGGUGGGUAUAUAGCCAAAUUUUGAAUACAAUAGGGCAGCACAAAACUGUGACAACAGUGGCAGAAGGACUGAAGUACAGAAUGUGUGAAAGUUGUUGUGAAAUAAAUAGAGAGCAACAGAAAAGGACUAUUUGGGCUGGGCAAUGGUAAUCCCAGAACUUUGGGAGGCUGAGUCAGGUGGAUCACCUGAGGUCAGGAGCUCAAGA
rnacentral:lncRNA from 1 species